rnacentral:rRNA from 1 species
UACAGAGGUCCCAAGCGUUGUUCGGAUUCACUGGGCGUAAAGGGUGCGUAGGCGGUAGGGUAAGUCUGACGUGAAAUGCCGGAGCUCAACUCCGGAACUGCGUCGGAAACUACUUUACUAGAGGAUUGGAAGGGGGACUGGAAUUCUCGGUGUAGCAGUGAAAUGCGUAGAUAUCGAGAGGAACACCCGUGGCGAAGGCGAGUCCCUGGACAAUUCCUGACGCUGAGGCACGAAAGCUAGGGGAGCAAACAGG